AUUGAACGCUGGCGGCAGGCCUAACACAUGCAAGUCGAGCGGAUGAAGGGAGCUUGCUUCUGGAUUCAGCGGCGGACGGGUGAGUAAUGCCUAGGAAUCUGCCUGGUAGUGGGGGAUAACGUCCGGAAACGGGCGCUAAUACCGCAUACGUCCUGAGGGAUAAAGUGGGGGAUUUUGGUACCACGCGCUACUAGAUGAGCCUAGGUAGGAUUAGCUAGUUGGUGGGGUAAAGGCCUACCAAGGCGACGAUCCGUAACUGGUCUGAGAGGAUGAUCAGUCACACUGGAACUGGGACACGGUCCAGACUCCUACGGGAGGAAGCGGUGGGGAAUAUUGGAAAAUGAGCGAAAGCCUGAUCCAGCCAUGCCGCGUGUGUAAAGAAGGUCUUCGGAUUGUAAAGCACUUUAAGUUGGGAGGAAGGGCAGUAAGUUAAUAACUUGCUGUUUUGACGGUACCAACAGAAAAAGCACCGGCUAACUUCGUG
rnacentral:rRNA from 1 species